rnacentral:rRNA from 1 species
GAGUUUGAUCAUGGCUCAGGAUGAACGCUAGCGGCAGGCCUAACACAUGCAAGUCGAGGGGUAGAGGGAGCUUGCUCCCUUGAGACCGGCGCACGGGUGCGUAACGCGUAUGCAACCUACCUAUUGCAGGGGAAUAGCCCAGGGAAACUUGGAUUAAUGCCCCAUAGUCCAUAUUGAGAGCAUUCGAUAUAUGGUAAAGAUUCAUCGGCAAUAGAUGGGCAUGCGUCCUAUUAGCUAGUUGGUGUGGUAACGGCACACCAAGGCUACGAUAGGUAGGGGCCCUGAGAGGGGGAUCCCCCACACUGGUACUGAGACACGGACCAGACUCCUACGGGAGGCAGCAGUGAGGAAUAUUGGACAAUGGGCGGGAGCCUGAUCCAGCCAUGCCGCGUGCAGGAAGACUGCCCUAUGGGUUGUAAACUGCUUUUUUACGGGAAGAAACACCCCCACGUGUGGGGCUUGUACCGUACNGUNGGCAUAAGGAUCGGCUAACUCCGUGCC